rnacentral:rRNA from 1 species
CCUACGGGUGGCAGCAGUGAGGAAUAUUGGUCAAUGGGCGUAAGCCUGAACCAGCCAAGUCGCGUGAGGGAUGAAGGUUCUAUGGAUCGUAAACCUCUUUUAUAAGGGAAUAAAGUGCGGGACGUGUCCCGUUUUGUAUGUACCUUAUGAAUAAGGAGCGGCUAACUCCGUGCCAGCAGCCGCGGUAAUACGGAGGAUCCGAGCGUUAUCCGGAUUUAUUGGGUUUAAAGGUUGCGUAGGCGGCCUUUGAAGUCAGCGGGGAAAGUCUGUGGCUCAACCAUAGAAUUGCCGUUGAAACUGGGAGGCUUGAGUAUGUUUGAGGCAGGCGGAAUGCGUGGUGUAGCGGUGAAAUGCUUAGAUAUCACGCAGAACCCCGAUUGCGAAGGCAGCCGGCCAAGCCAUGACUGACGCUGAUGCACGAAAGCGUGGGGAUCAAACAGGAUUAGAUACCCCUGUAGUC